rnacentral:lncRNA from 1 species
UGCCCGGCACCAUCCAAUAGUGGAUCUGACGAAAGAAAUCGAGGAGUGUUUGUUAAAGAACUGGCCCGAUUUGUUGUAAGUGACUAUUUUCAAGUGAUGCCAGCAUCAACCUCAGCAAGCAUUUCUCUUCUUACAAAGCUUGGAGUCAUGGAUACAAGUAACAUCGAGGAGAGGAUUUUUGACAUUGGAGUAACAGAGGUAUGAUCUAAUAUAUGAGCUGUUGCAGUAUUGUCUAGCCUUGUGCUAUGUACAGGCACCCUUUUAAUGUCUCUGUUUUAGGUUUUGGAAUUGCUGCAGUGCUCAUUGGUAUCAAGGACACCUCUGACCGAAGUUUUGCUUUCUCGCAAGGAAGUUCCCGAGUUAAGAAAUGAAGAUUCCCUUCAAAGAACCUCUCUUAUGCAUGAAAUACUAGAGCAUCAAACAGAAGAAAAUGGUGAGACGUCUGUUAGGCUUGUGGUUUGCAAAUCCAAGAAAGUGGUAUGUUACGCAGAAGCGUCAAAAGAUUUUGUUGAUUUACUUUUUAGUUUUCUCACCAUUCCACUUGGGUAUUUGAUGAAUGAAAAGCAUGGUGGAAAAUCAAAAGGAUGCAUCCACCACCUAUAUGACAGUGUCAGUGAUCUCGAUGCUAUGAAAUACCUGAAGUCGAAUGACAUUAAAGAGAUUCUUCUAAAUCCUAAGAUUGCACCUGGUUCUGGCUAUAAGAACCAGCCACUAGGUGUUAAGGAAGCUGUUGAUAACCAGCAGUACUACUAUAAUUGGAAUUCUUCCAAGCCACUAAGAACUGAAAGCAUCUGUACUCGCGGUUAUACACCCCCACUUUUAACUAUGAUGGAUCCCAAAUCACCCUACAAAGAGGGCACAGAAGGUGAUGGAUUUUUGCUAGAUCCUGCUAUGUUCACAGUAAGUGACGAUCUUGUUGUUGCACCAAUAUCGCCUGUCUCAGAACUAUCCUUACUGGAAAAAUUGAAGAUACCAUUUAAUGACAUCUAUGUCUGCGAGGUUCAAAUUGGAAGAGAAGAGGUAAGUCAAACUAACUAAUUUCUGCACUCUCUUAUUAUCCAUGAUAUUUAAUAUUUAUUAUAAAGCUCUUAAGAAAAAUCAUGCCCGUCAACUUCAUGCUAUGUCUUUUUAAUUUUGUUAAGUUUAUUUAUUUUUUAUUCUAUUUAUUCAACCAAACAGAUUUAUAGGAUAGAAGUGGCAUAAAAACUAUUUUACCUGUUCUUCUAAGAUCCUUUUUUUGUUAAUGUCAUUUGUUAAAAUUCGCAUCAUAUAUAACAGUCUUCAAACAGGAAUAUUGGUGUGAUGGGCAUUUUUUUUUUCUGCUGCAGGCUUCCCGUCUCUUAGCAGCUUCUUUUGUAUCUGAAUCUGCUCUUACUGAUCUUCCUACGUAAGAUGCCUUCAUUUCCGAUGUUCUGAAAGAAUAAUCUUGAGGACAUCUGUGUGCUUAAUUGAUCAAGUAUAUUUUCUGGUCAUCUUGAACCUGGUUUUUUAUUAAUGUGAUAGAUAGUCUGUCAUGUAAGUCGAAUUAAGGUGCUGCUUUUGCUUCAUAAUACCUAAACUAUAGUUGUUUUCUCUUUUGACUCGUUACUUGGGCGUAUAUAUAAUUGCCUGGAAACACAAUUUAGAAAGGGCUUACAGUUUCAGACAAGAUUAAUUUGACUCCAAAUUGGUAGGCAGAGAGUAUCUUGAACCACACCGAAUAAAACUCUCACUUGGUGGCAAAGCAUACACUAGAAAUUAUGCCUUCGCGAGGAAACACAGUUUUUUUAAAAGUUCUAAAUAUCUAUUCAGCGUUCCUGCUAUCUCCUUCUGCAAUCUAUGAUGAAGUCUCAAACAGUAUUUUAAGUUGGUCUGGACUAUUUUGUAAGCUUUUCAUAACGAAUCAUUAAUUAAUUGAAUGGCAGCAUCAUGAAAUGUAAUCAUCAGGCUCCCUCGUAACAAUCAGCUGUCCCAUUGGGGUGACUUGCACCACCUUUUCGACUAUAGAUUCAAAAUAACAAAUGCCUUCAAUCAUAAAAAUCGGAAACAUAACUAUGCCGGUGGAAAUCCACAACAUCGAUGCCUUGGUACUUCAGUGUAUGUAAAACAUAUUUGGUGAUAUACGGAAACAGAAACUUUCAGAUCAGAUAACCUGAAUCUCUUACUUGGAAAUUGUUUAAAAUUCCAAUUAAAUCGCAAGGCAAUGUUAUCUACUCCAAAUUGUCAUUUUCUAUUCUUAAUAAAUUUCUAGUUCAUUUACUGAGCAUAUUUAGGUUUUUGAUACGAAGGAAUUUCAAAACUGGGAAAUAAUCUGUGUUUUUCUGCUGUUUUUUAAAAACUUCGCAGCCAAUACUGUGUAGUUAUUGUCCUGAAACUUCUCUGUAGUGCUACAGCCAGAAGGCCCAGAACAUAAGAUAUAUCAUCUCUUCCCUUUCUAGUUAUUGUUGUCAACAAUACGAAGCUAUAACCCAAGCCUCAGGGGCUGGAACUUUACAUUGCUGCCAUACCGUUCAUUUACUUGUACCACUACCUGAGACAGAGAAUCGAAUAUAACUACGAUAUGGAUUUCUCUGUUUCAGUGAUUGAUCUCCCCAGAACAUCAUUGUGCUGCAUGCUUCACAUCUUUGGUAGCUUCCUUUAUCGAUCUGCGAAAAACCCUUGGCCAAUAUUCCUUCAUCAGCAAAAACUUGAGAAUAGUUUUCAUUGGUGCUGGUUUUGGUUUUUUGUUUCUUUUGUGUGCGCGCAAAAUUUGGAAGCUAUGAGCAUAGGUACAUGAUUAAGAAUAGUACAUUUAAGAUGUUGAAUGAAUAGCAAUGGUAGAUGAGUCUAGUAAACAUAUCAUUAUACAAUAUAUUUCUAUUGGCUCAAUUUACACAUUCUCAUUGCAUAUACAUGCGCCAAGGGCUAGUGGAAAAUCCAGGGAAAUGACUCUGCCUUUUCAGGUCUCGAGUAAAUAAUGUCUCUGGUCCUAGUCUAUAAAGAAGGCUGUUCACCAUGGAUCUUUCUCCAAGGCUGUUUCUGCUUUCAGGUUUCGAAUUUUGGUACGAUGCAUGACAAUUUAAGUAAGAAGCAAUUAGAUAAAGGAUUUCUGUCUUUAAAUUCCUGUUCUAUUCUUGAGGAUUGUAAAUGUUGGGGAAAUAGAAAGUACUAUUAAACAUUAAUUCGCAAUUAUGACUGAUAUUAUGAUUCCCCCAAUUCAUAGCAUGACCCUAGCUGUUAGAACAAUCUAUAGGUGUUUUUGUUGCAGGCUUCACGUCUCUUGGCAGCUUCUUUGAUUUCUGAAAUUUGCGCAGAGUAUGAACUAAGCCUCUUCAGGGCCCAAAUCAAGGUAUCCAUUCCGAAUCUCAGGCCAAAACAAAAGAAUAUUUUGACUUCAUAUCUCGUAACUAUAAGUUAUACAAUCAAAUAGGUGCACGCUUUGGAACACACAAGGAACAAACCAGUUUGAGAAAGGAUCGAAGCAGGUGCUAGAUUGAUACACAGUAGUAGUGUAUGAGCUUCUGGAAUUUGUCAAGUUACAAACACUAUUAAGGUGGUCUAGUCUAUUUUUGUGCUUCUUGUAAUGAAAUUGAACUGCACGGUGAAAUGGUUUCUCUGCAGCACCACCUGUAAUCAUCAUGUUCACCUGUAAUCAUCCAUGCCGUUCAAGCAACUAAAGGAUGCAAAAUGGUCGCUCCGCCUUUUGAUUUCCUGUAUUUUAAUUUCUGGCGUUGAGGGCUUCAUAUCUCUGAAUUGGCAGUGAGUCACUAGGCAAUGCUUCACUCGUACAAACCUGAAACAAGAACUAUAGAUUUUAUAAGUUAACUGUUUUUUUUUUAACUUAGUUAAGAUAACCCGGAUUGACUUGAACUUUUUUCUCAAAUCGUAUCCUUUCUCGAAGUUGAUAUUUUUUUUUCAUUUCUAUCUUUUAGGAUUUAGUUAUUAGGCUCUUUGUGAUUUUUUUUGCUUUUUUUUUAUGUGGGAUUAUUAUAAGUUGCGGGUUAGUCAAGUUAACUUAAGUAAAAUUUAGUUUUUUUUAUUGAUUUAUCUUAGGUCUUUUUUUUUUCUAGGCCUUUUAAAAAAAUAGUUUUUUUUUCAUAUUGUGGAUCAUGUGGUAGUCGAGUUAACUUGGUUUUUUUAUAUUUAUAUUUUUUUAAAAAAAUUUAUUUCAUCCUUUAACAUUAGAUUAUUGUGCCUUGAGCUUUGUGAUUCUUUUCGAUUUUUUUUUUGUUGGGUUAUCCCAAAUCACAAGUUAGUCAAGUUAAUCGGGUUGACUUGACUUUUUUUUUUAAUGUUUUUUUAUUGAUUUAACUUCAGUCUCUCUAAAAGCAUUUUCUUUUUAUCUCGGAAUUGCAUAAAUGGUGGUAGAUUUGUUAAGUUAAUCAAGGUUGACUCGAGUUAUUAUCUAUCGCCUAGACAUCUUUUUUUUAUAUUGGAAAAAAAUUGACUCGUCCUGUAGGGUAGUGUGGGCCACCCAUCUAGUAUAAAACUAAAAAAAAAGAGGGUUUCAUUGUAUUCCUCCUGGCAUAAGACUAUUCACUUGGAUAUUGUUUUUUUUUUUUUUUACUUCCCUAGUUUUUCCUUUUGAUCUAUAUAUAUAUAUUUUUUUUAAUUUCAUCAUUUAAUGUUAGGUUUAUUUUGGAUUAUGCUUCAUAUUUUUUUUAAUUUACUUUCUAUGAGAUUAUCCUAAAUUUAUGACUCGAAUUACAAGUUUAUAUAUUAACUCAUUUGACUCAAAUUUUUUUCUUAUUUUCGUAUGUCUUUUUUUUCAUCUUAAAUUUGUCUUUCAAAACUAGGUUGAUUGGGGAUUAGGAUUCGUUAUUUUAUUUUGUUCCACUUUCUAUGAGGUUAUUUCCAUUUUAUAACUUGGGUCACAGGUUAACCUUGGUUGACCUAAGUUAUUUUUUUAUGUUUUUUUUAAUUGAUUUUUUUUCAAUUUCAUCUUUUAAUAUUGAGUUGAUUUAAAAUUGGACUAAAUAAUUUAUUUUGAUUUACUUUCUAUUAUGUUAUCCUGGUUUCAUGACGUGAAUCACAAGUUUGUCAGGUUAACCAAAGUUGACUAAAAUCAUUUUUUUUAUUUUUUAAUUAAUUGUUUUUAAGUUUCAUCCUUUAACAUUGAGUUUAUUGAAAAUUAAACUUUCUAAUUUGUUUUGAUUUAUUGUUCAUGGUGUUAUUAUGAUCUUAUGACUUAGUAUACAAGUUGAUAGGUUAACUCGAGAUGACUCGAAUCGAUUUAAUAUAUUGUUCUCUCGAUGUUUAUUAAAAACAUAUCACUUUAAAUAUUUAUUUUGAAUCAAAUUAUAUUUUUAUCGGUUUUCUGAAUUGUAUUUAGACUCGUCAAGACGACCAAGUCACUUCAGAUCAAUCUCCAAACAAUUUUAUUUUUUACUAUUAGAAAAAAUUUAAUCUGACUCGCAGUGUAAAGCAGGGCAAUUAUCUAGUAAUAUUUAAAAUACAUCCUUAAUUAAUCUAAUCUAAGAAAAAUAUAUUUUUUUUUAAUAUACUAAAUAUAUUUUAAAUAAUUUUAUCUUCAACAAGUUAGAUAUAAGGUGUUGGAAAAAAGAUUUUUUUUAAGAAAAAAGGCUAAGGGAGCAAACGAGCAUGGAAGAUUGAGCAUGUCAAUGCCAUGAAAAAAAAAAAAGGCGCAUGGGCUUUGCCAAUACAAGCUCGUGUGUUUGAUUUUUUUAUUAUUUUUUUGGAGUUGACAAAGUCAAAUUCAUGUUAUUUUUAAAGGAUGCAAUCAUGUUGUCUAAAGGUCAAAUUCAGGUUAUGCAAGGUGAUUUAAAAAAACAUGGGAGAUUUUUUUUUUUGAUAAAAAAACUUAAUUUUUCAUUCAUUUUUAUUUGAAAAUACCUUAAAAAACAUUCUUUAAACCUUAAAUAAUUAAUUCCUCAAUUCAAGAUUUCUCAAAUUGAUUUAAAAACACAAAAUUAAAUAAAACAUAAAAAACCUCAGCCAACCCUAAUUUAUUUUUUUAGGUGAUAAGAAAACACUACAAUGAAAAAUUUUCCCCACAAAAUUGGACCACCCAAUAUCCUUUUCUCUCUUGUUGUUUUAUGGCUAUCCUCUCUCUUCUCUCUCAAGCUAACGGACCAAAACAUGAAGAAAAUAAAGCACCGGACCAAAGUGUAGAAACUUAGAAAAUAGGGAUCAAGAUGAAAAUUUUUAAUUCUUAGAGUCUGAAUUAUGUUUAAUGAAAAAAAAUUGAAUUUGAUAUCGUCAGAUAUCAAUUUAAAACCCAAACUUUUUUAAAAAUAUUUCAAAAGACCCUUGCAGAAUUAACUGAGACAAAUAAUAUAGCCCAAUCUAAAAUUAGCUAAACAUAGAAUGAUCAAAUUAAGAAAAAAAAAAUUAAGUGGCAAAAUAAAACAGAGCAAAUACUAUGCGAAUCCAUAUUCCGUCUCACAUAUUACACACAAUGAAAGGUUGAUGUCUUUUAUUUUUUUAAUUUAAUGAAAAUUUAGAAUAUAAUAUAAUAUAAUAUAAUUUAUAAUUAUAAUUGUAAUGCAUGUAACAUAAUUUAAAUCAGCACAAUGAUUUGAUCCUCGAAAAGAAAUUUUGCCAAACGGAGCAUAAUUGAUUAACAGAGCCCAUGAUUAAAUUUGGUCACAGCUCAUGUGAAAGUUUAUAUGCAAUGACAUGUUUGGCAAUGGAUAAUGGGCUAGAAUACAUACAGAGAGCAAUCGACAUUUUACUUUCCUCCUGUUACUUAGAGCAUCUCUAAUGAGAAAUGCUAUAUUAAAUAGCCAAAUAAAAAAAAUGACUUUUUGAAUAAUGUAAAUAUAACUUUUUAGAUCAUGUGCAUUCCAAUGGCAAAAAGCUAUUUAGAAAAGCCAUUUAUAUUUUAAUAUAUUUCAUGUUAAAUUAAUUUUAAUAUAAUUAUAUAACUAAUUUAGAUAUUUUAUAUAUAAUAUAAUUAUGAUGUUAUUAAUUAUAUAAUUAAUAUGAGUAAUUUAUAAAAGUAAUAUAAAAUUAAUGAAGUAAUAUGAAAGUUAAAAAAUAUAAUUUAAAAUUUAUUUAUAUGAAUAUUUUUAAUUUUAAGUUUUAUAUGUUAUUGUUAAAAAAUUAAUUUUUUAAAAGUAAAUUCAAAUUCAAACUUUGAAAAAAUGACCGCCAACAUUUUAAAUUUUAAAAUUUUAAAAUUUGAAAAAAUAACCGCCAACAUUUUAAAUUUUCAAAUUUCAAAUUUUGAAAAAAUAACCGUCAACAUUUUAAAUUUUAAAAUUUUAAAAUUUUAAAUUUUGAAAAAAUUACCGCCAACAUUCUAAGAUUUUACAAUUAGAAAAAAUAGUUCAUCUAUAAAUAUUCUCAUAUAUCUUAACAUUUUUUCUCAUCAUUUUCUUCUCUUCAAUCUUUGUUAUAUUUCAUUAAAAUUCAUCAUGAAUCAUUCUAAUUUUAAUUUUUAUGAUGCUUUUGAUUUUGAUGAUGACACUCCUGUGUUGGCUUUUCAAGUUGCUACUGUUGUGGUUGCUGAAGAAGAAUCGAAUAAUCAAGGGCGGAGAACAGGGUAUCGUGGCUCUAUUCCUGGUCACAAUAUUGUCAAUCGUAAUAGAAAGGAAGGUGAGUUAAGGUUAUAUAAUGAUUAUUUUGCAGAAAAUCCUAAAUUCACUGAAAGUCAAUUUCGAAGAAGAUUUAGGAUGAGUCGUCGUCUUUUUCUUCGGAUCGCAAAUGCAGUGGAAGCUCAUAAUCCAUAUUUCAAACAAAGGACAGAUGCUCUUGGUGUUCUUGGUUUAUCUUGCCUUCAAAAGGUAACUGCAGCUCACAGAAUACUUGCAUAUGGUAUUCCUGCAGAUCUUACUGAUGAAUAUCUUCGAAUUGGAGAAACCACUGCGAUAGAAAGUCUUAGAGCUUUCGGCAAAGCAAUCGUAGAAUUUUUUGGUGAUUGGUAUCUAAGGACACCAAACGAGGUCGAUCUUUGUCGAUUAUUAUCAAUUGGAGAGCAGCGUGGAUUUCUAGGGAUGUUAGGGAGCAUUGACUGUAUGCAUUAGAAAUGAGAGAAAUGCCCAAUUGCAUGGCAUGGGAUGUAUACUGGUCAUUGUCAUGAACCAACUAUAAUUCUAGAGGCGGUGGCUUCACAGGAUCUUUGGAUAUGGCAUGCCUUUUUUGGAAUGCCUGGAUCAUUAAAUGAUAUUAAUGUUCUUGAUCGGUCACCUAUCUUUGUUGUACUUGCUGAAGGUCGUACUGCUCCUGUCAAUUAUACAAUUAAUGGACAUGAAUAUACAAUGGGAUACUAUUUAGCAGAUGGAAUUUAUCAUAAUUAGUCAACUUUUGUUAAGACAAUCCCAAGAUCAUUAGGAGCAAAGAGAAAAUAUUUUGCAAGCAAGCAAGAGUCUGUAAGAAAAGAUGUGGAGCGGGCAUUUGGGGUGCUCCAAUCUCAUUUUACAAUUAUACAUGGACCUGUUCGAUACUGGGAUGAAGAAACACUUGCAUAUAUUAUGAAAGCUUGCAUAAUAAUGCAUAAUAUGAUUAUUGAGGAUGAAGGAGCAAUGAACCUUGGAUUUGACCAUGAACAUGAAGUCAAUUCCUUUAUAUCAGUGUCACAUGGUGAAAUACCAGAACUACAUGAUUUUCUUCAAACUCAUAAUCGAAUUAGGGAUAGAGCAACUAGCUCUCAACUACAAGAAGAUUUGAUUGAACAUUUGUGGGAACAAUAUGGCAACGAGUAGAAUCUUUAGAUUUGAACUUCUUAUGUUAUCAUAAUUUUCAAGUUUUUUUAUGUUUUUUUUUCAUUAUGUUUGUUAUCUUUUAAGUUAAUUAAUCCUACUUGUUAUUGUUAAGUGUUAGAGGAACUUUAAAAAAGUAUUAUGAAUUGAUAUCAAUUUCAUAACAAUGUAUUUAAAAUAACAAAGAAUUUUCUACAUAUUUAAUUAAAAAUACAUUACAUUACAAUAAAUCAAUCAAAGUUAAUUAAAAAUCAAAACCCCUCUUUUGCAUAAUUUCUAACUUUUUAUUUUGAAAAUACACUGCAGAAAUUGGAUCCAAAUUAGAAACAUCCAUUUUCAUAGUUUGUUCUUCUUUUUCAAUCCUGUCCAAUUCUUGUUUCUCUUGAUUUUGUUGAAUCAUCAUGGCUUGUUGCUCUAACAUAAUUUUCCUGUUUUGUUUCUUCUGAUCCUCAAUUUCAACUAGAGUAUCCUUGAAUUGUUGUAAGAGAUUCGUUACAGUUACAUCCCCAACUUUAUAUUUUCCUUGUCUAUGUUUAAGUCGUUCCUUUGCAGCCUUUUGACCGAUUGGUCUAUCUUGAUAAAUCAAUGGUUCACUAUCUUCUCCUAAACUAACAGAAUCCGGAGUAGAUGGAGUUGAUGAAGCUGGACUUGCAUUGACAUGAUCUUUUUGUUUCUUGUUUGACCUUUGAUGUUGACUUGCACGCUCAAAUUGUCAUUUGGGUUCUUUUCUUAAGAUAACCCAACAAUAUUCUAGUUGAAAUCGUUUGCCAACGCAAGAAGCAUACAUUUGCCGAGCAUCAUUAAUUUGGUAAAUAAAUAAAUAAAUUAAAUAAUGUUAAAUAUAUGUUAAACAAUUUAACAUAGAAAUGAAUAUUAACAUUACCCUUGAUUCUUCGAUCAUUCCACUUUGCUGACGAUUUUCAAUUUGAGUAACAAAUCCAACAAAUUUACCGACUUCUCUAUUUAUUUCUUGCCAUCUACUUGAGAUGCUUAUUUGUGAACGAUUAUUCAAGUUUCCUCCAUUCUCUACAAAGUAAGCAUGUACGCGAGCCCAAACUGUUUUGUUUGUUGUUCAACUCCUGUAAUUGGAUCCUUGCUUGUAUUUAGCCAUGCAGAGACAAGUAAACAAUCCUCCUCUGGUGAGAAAUUUUUACUUCUUUGUGAUUUUUUUGCCGAAUGGACAUUUAAAUUCGAGUAUGUUAAGUCAUCAAUUAAUUGAUUAGAAUCACUUGGUUGAGAGAGAAUAUCUUCUGACUCACUCAUAAGAAAGUUGGUAAAAGAGCUUGGAAAAUUUGAAUCCAUCUACAUUAAAAAAAAAAAAAACUCAAGUUAAAACCUUAUAAGAGAGUGUAAAAGAAGCUCACAUUCAAUGUCUAGCAAUUUUGUAGUUUUCAUAUCGAAUUAAUAAUAAGCAUUGCCUCCUACUUGUUCUAACAUAACAAUUUGACCAUUUUUUGGAACUAAAAGAGAAUUGAUAUACUGGUUUAAUUGCAUUUUCAACAAGACAAAAUAUAAUUGACCUCAAAUUAAAACAGACAAUCAAAAAUAAAUUUUAAAUAUGUACUCUAUCUUUUUAUCAAUAUCAACUACCAUUAUUAAUUCCUCAAUUUUAUCAAAGAUAACAACAUAAAUAAAAAUUGUCUUCCUUAACCCAUAUUAAAAACAUAAAAUAAUAAAGAAAUAAAACUCAUCAUAAAUAUUAAAUUAACAACAAAAGGUCUAAAAAAUCAAGAGAUAUAAAAAAGAAAAUAGAAAAAUCUUUUAAACAAGCAUACCUUUUAAUUUCAGCUAAUUAACACAACCGAUGUUAAUAAUUAAUCGGAGAAUAAUUGAUUCUUGUUUUUAUAAAUUUGAGAGAAGGGUGAGGCACAAUACAAAAAUGUAAAACUACAAGUUUUGUCUUCAUGUAUUUAUAGAAAAUUUCUUCUAUAUUUAAAGAAAAACAAAAAAAAAAAGAGUUGUUGGCCAACGACUAUAAAAAUAGUCGUUGGCCAACAACUAUCAUUUUAGUCAUUUCUACAGUUAAAUGUAGAAAUGGUUGUCAAGAAAACAAAUAGCCAAAAUAGAUAUUUGUUUAGCUCUUUUGUUGGAAUGCCAACAGUGAAAAAUAAAAGGCAAAUGACGUUUGACUUCUUGUUUUGCUGCUCCGUUGGAGCUGCUCUUAAACAACAAGUUUUAUACCUAUUUUUUUUUUUUUUUUAGUUUAUAAUUUAUUAGUAUUGUUAAAAAAAACUGUGAAAAAACCAUUGGCAAUCAUUUUGUAAAGCCAGCUUCCAGGAUUCAACUUCCUUGUGAAGUUUGAAUAGGGUAUUGAUCAAUAGCAUUAUGACCCCUAAUAAUUCAACUAUAAGACAACCCCACUUGAAAGUGAAAGGUUAUGUGGCUCUUUUUGACCGAAUUCCAUUUAUUAAAUAAGAGAAUAUAACCGAAGCUUACAACAUAGCAGAACCCAUCUCCCUGCACCAGACCAAAACAUUUUAGGAGUUUUUGCAUAGGUUCUUGAUUCUUGAAUACUCAAUUUGUUUAUGAGUUUUUGCACCGAACAUCAUCGUCGGCUAAUUCAAUGGCUAUCUGGUGGAUAAGCUGGUGGUGGCAGGCCUGUGCAUUUGUUUCUUCAAGGAGAGAGUGCUAGGGUUUUAUGGAUGGCAGUGGCUUGGGCUGGUGUGUUGGUGAUGGAAAAGGGUUUUCUGCCUCUCUCUUUUUCUGGAGGAAAAGAAGAGUACUGAGCUGUAACUUCCUUAAUUCAUAAAUGUUUGUCUCCUUGCUUUCGGGAAAGAGAAGCUUUGUGUCACCUUUUACUGUUCUGUUAUUUGAAAACAUUUGAAAAAAGAAAGAGGUUUGGACUGUGUGAAUCUGAACGAACGAACAGUGAACUCAGCACUGUUGAAGAUCAGUCAAGAACAAGUCACAAGCCAGUGCCACUGUGGAAAGAAAAGCAUGUCAAAAGUCAUUUAUCUUGAAUUUCGUGCUUUUUUGAGAUUUUUAUUUUUAACAGCGUUUUAAAAAUUGUAUUUGUUUUAAAAAUAUAUUAAAUCUAUUUUUUAAUGUUUUUAAUAAUUUUCAUAUGCUAGUAUAAAAAAUCUAAAAAAAUUAAAAAUUAUUUUAAUAUAUUAUUUUAAAAGCAGCUUCAUAUAAAAAAAUAAAAUGUGUUAAAACACUCUCAUCACAAAAUGUUAAAAGAAUAUAUCUUGCUGUAAUGAUUAAAGCGAGAUGCAUUACUUAGUAAUGAAGAGUAUGAUUUAUACUGUUUAGAAUUAAGGCUGAUAUUUUUAUUUUAAAAAAAUUUAUUUAUUUUUAUUUUAAAUUAAUUUUUUUCAUGUUUUUAAAUAGUUUUAAUAUUAUAAUAUCAAAAAUAAAAUUUUUUAAAAAUAUUAUUUUAAUAUAACAGUGAAAAAGUGUGGGCUUCCAAACCGACAAAGCAACCUCUAUAUACACUCUUAUUGUGUGUGUGUGAGAUACCAUUAACUAUAAAAGACUACUGUGUUUUAUUUACUCACCAUUGUUGCCCAGAGUCCAUAGCCAACAAUUCGUAUCAGAGCUGUUGCCCAACAUUUGUACCCACAGUUACCACCUCUUGACUCGCUUGAACACCAUUUCAUCUCAAUCCAUGGCAACCAUUAGCUUGAAGGCAUCUGUGGACAAGAAGAGCAACAGAGUUGUAUUUGUUGAAUCUGACGAAUUCUUUGUUGAUAUCCUUUUCAGUUUUUUUGACAAUGCCCAUGGGAACAAUCAUCCAUCUCACCGGUAAUCUUUCACCGACAAAUGGGGUUGUUUGCAUGAACAACUUGUAUAAAAGUGUUGAAAAUAUAGAUGCUAUGUAUUUCCGGACUGAAGCAUGCAAUGACAUGUUGCUACAUCCUUAUAAUGCCGCUGCAGCUUAUUGUAAGAGCCUAAAACUGAAAAUUGAUGACAUUGACACUUCAAGUUCUUUUUGUUGCCAGAGUUCCGAAUGUUCUAAUUCUGGCUACAAGUUGUUGAGUCAUUACAAAAAUCUUUAUUGUGGCUGUGGACGUCCCAUGGGCCGUAUUUUGAAUCUAUCAUGGCGGGCUCCAUCCAAUAGUGGAUCUUACGCAAGAAAUCGAGGGGUGUUUGUUGAAGGACUGACCCGAUUUGUUGUAAGUGAUUGUUUUCAAGUGAUGCCAGCAUUGCUCUUCUUACAGAGCUUGGAGUCAUGGAUACAAGUAACAUCGAGGAGAGGAUUUUUGACAUUGGAGUAACAGAGGUAUGAUCGAAUAAAUGAGCUGUUGCAGUAUUGUCUAGCCUUGUGCUAUGUACAGGCACCCAUUUUAAUGUCUCUGUUUUAGGUGGUUGGAAUUGCUGGAGCGCUCAUUGGUAUCAAGGACACCUCUGACCGAAGUUUUGCUUGCUCGUAAGGAAGUUCCCGAGUUAAGAAAUGAAGAUUCCCUUCAAAGAACCUCUCUUAUGCGUGAAAUACCAGAGCACCAAUCAGAAAUAAAUGGUGAGACGUCUGUUAGGCUUGUGGUUUGCAAAUCCAAGAAAGUGGUAUGUUACGCAGAAGCGUCUAAAGAUUUUGUUGAUUUACUUUUUAGUUUUCUCACCAUUCCACUUGGGUAUUUGAUGAAUGAAAUGCAUGGUGGACAAUCAAAAGGAAGCAUCCACCACCUAUAUGACAGUGUCAUUGAUCUCGAUGCACCGAAAUACCUGAAGUCAAAUGACAUUAAAGAGAUUCUUCUAAAUCCUAAGAUUGCACCUGGUUCUGGCUAUAAGAACCAGCCACUAGGUGUUAAGGAAGCUGUUGAUAACCAGCAGUACUACUAUGAUUGGAAUUCUUCCAAUCCACUUAUAAGAACUGAAAGCAAAAGUCCUGUUGGUUAUACACUCCCACUUUUAACUAUGAUGGAUCCCAAAUCACCCUACAAAGAGGGCACAGAAGGUGAUGGAUUUUUGCUAGAUCCUGCAAUGUUCACAAUAAGUGACGAUCUUGUUGUUACACCAAUAUCGCCUGUCUCAGAACUAUCCUUACUGGAAAAAUUGAAGAUACCUUUCAAUGACAUCUAUGUCUGCGAGGUUCAAGUUGGCAGAGAAGAGGUAAGUCAAACGAACUAAUUUCUGCACUCUCUUGUUAGCCAUGAUAUUUAAGUAAUUAUAAAGCUCUUAAGAAAAAUCAGGCCUGUCAACUUCAUGCUUAUGUCUUUUCAAUUUUGUCUUGAUCAGAACUGUAAGUUUAUUUAUUUUUUAUUCUAUUUAUUCAACCAUACAGAUUUGUAGGAUAGAAGUGGCAUAAAAACUAUUUUACCUGUUCUUCUAAGAUCCUUUUUUGUUAAUGGCAUUUGUUAAAAUUCGCAUAAUAACAGUCUCUUCAAACAGGAAUAUUGGUUUGAUGGGCAUUUUUUUUUCUGCUGCAGGCUUCUCGUCUCUUAGCAGCUUCUUUUGUAUCUGAAUCUGCUCUUACUGAUACCUUCCUACGUAAGAUGCCAAAAGAUGCCUUAAUUUCCGAUGUUCUGAAAGAAUAAUCUUGAGGACAUCUGUGUGCUUAAUUGAUCAAGUAUAUUUUCUGGUCAUCUUGAACCUGGUUUUUUUAUUAAUGUGAUAAAAGUCUGUCAUGUGUAGGAGUAAUAUUGAUUCUCAAGACUUCAUGUAAGUCGAAUUAAGGUGCUGCUUUUGCUUCAUAAUACCUAAACUAUAGUUGUUUUCUCUUUUGACUCGUUACUUGGGCGUAUAAUUGCCUGGAAACACAAUUUAGAAAGGGCUUACAGUUUCAGACAAGAUUAAUUUGACUCCAAAUUGGUAGGCAGAGAGUAUCUGAACCACACCGAAUAAAACUCUCACUUGGUGGCAAAGGAUGCUAAUUUCUUGUUUGGAACGUCUCGUGCAUGGUUGCUUCUUUUAUCUCUGAAUUGGAGGUCAGUCAAUAAAAAAUGCCUUCAGCCAUAAAAACUGGAAACGAGAAUACUUGGAUCUUCAUAGAUAUUCUCCCCUUUUCUUCUUUUUUUCCGAUGAAUGAGUAAAAGGAGUCUUAUAAGCAAAACUGAACUAUACCUGUGGAAAUCCACAACAUCGAUGCCUUGGUACUUCAGUGUAUGUAAAACAUAUUUGGUGAUAAAUGGAAACAGAAACUUUCAGAUCAGAUAACCUGAAUCUCUUACUUGGAAAUUGUUUAAAAUUCUGAAGAAUUUUGAAGCAGAGAAGAGACGUGAGACAAUGCAGUAAAACAGAGUUCUGCAUUAUAUUUUCUUAUGCUGUACAUAUGCAUAUAUAUAUAUAUAUAUUUUUGAAGCAGAGAAGAGACGUGAGACAAUGCAGUAAAACAGAGUUCUGCAUUAUAUUUUCUUAUGCUGUACAUAUGCAUAUAUAUAUAUAUAUAUAUAUAUAUACACAAAAGGAAAAACUUGAAGCAAGGAAAGACAAUCCUGCGUAUCCGUUCUCCUAACAAUAUGCUAAUAUUAUAUGUUAAUAAUAAAUACACAAUCAUAUCUAAACUAGGUAACAAAUAAGUUAUACUUGGUAAUAGCAUAAUAAAGAAGAUCUUCAUCGCUUCAGUAUCUUCAAUACUCCCUCCCCUCAAUCUGGAUCCAGUGGAUUGGUGGAUCCAAGCUUGCUUAAUAACCGAUGAAAUUGAGUGAAAGGUAAGGCUUUGGUAAGCACAUCAGCUAGUUGAUCAUGAGAUCGUACAUACUGAGGAUGGAUAAGUUUAGCUUGAACUUGCUAAUGAAUAUAAUGAGAAUCUACUUCAAUAAUCUGUAUUUUUCUACUGUUUUUGAAAAACUUCGCAGCCAAUACUGUCUAGUUAUUGUCCUGAAACUUCUCUGUAGUGCUACAGCCAGAACACAAGAUAUAUUAUCUCUUCCCUUUCUAGUUAUUGUUGUCAACAAUACGAAGCUAUAACCCAAGCCUCAGGGGCUAGAAACUUUACAUUGCUGCCAUACCAUUCAUUUACUUGUACCACUGCCUCAGACAGAGAAUGCAGAAUGCAUGGGGUAUCGAGUUGUCUGUGUUAUAAGUACAUGGUUUUAUGACAAUCCGAAUAUAACUACGAUAUGGAUUUACAUGUUUCUGUGAUAAGUAUAUCCAAUUCCUCUAGUUUAUCCCUUUUUCUUUUUCCUGUCUAUUUCUGCGGGCUUUCCGUCUUAUGGUAGCUUCUUUUGUAUCGGAAUCUGCUCUGACCGAUGUCUUCAUCCCUAACAGCCAAAAGAUGCCAAAUCCGACCAUUGCCGAUGAUCCAGAUGAGCAUUUUUUAAGGCAAUGCAGUGUUAAAUUUAUCCUUUGUAGUUUGGUCUUGAACCACAAUUUUGCUUGUGAGGAUGUUCGCAAAAGUAGUCUACUGCAAGAGGUUAAUAUAAUAUGGACUCAAUCUAGAUGUUCCAAGCCUCUAACAAUAUUAACAUAUUGAUUUCUUAACAGCUUUUGGAACUGCCUUGAGCUUUCAUGGCAGACAAUUAAGUUGAUUCCUUGUUUUUUCAACUGUAAUUUGGUAUUCCAGCGUAAGUUUUUGUACGACAAGGGUGAGUUCACAGGUCUCUUCUCGAUGAUUCUCAUGAUGAAUUAUCGAAUCGCGGGAAAGAUAGAGCCUAAACAUAGCAAUAAUUUAACUUCAGAUCUUAAAAAUCAGUUCAAAAGCAGCAGGAAACAAUAGACAGACAGGUAUCUAUCGUGCAUUUGAGCUAGGAACAAAAUGGCCUGUCUGCACAAAAAGAAAAAGGCCUGCCUGUCAGGGCAACAUUGCCGUGCCCAAGUUACCAUGGUGGGAUGCUGCAUUCUCUGUCAGAACCAAAUUACUUAAAUUUGAUAUUUUUGUCAGGUUAGUUCCUGGAAUGUGGCUUUGCUAGGCCUACGUGUGACCUUAUUGCCAUUUUUUUAAAAAUACUAAUAAUGUUUUUUUAAAACUUUAUUAAUAAUUAUACAAAUAAUACUAAUAAUAAUAAUAAUAAUAAUAUUUUAAUUUUCAAAUCAAAUUUUGGUUAUUUUUCAACAAUCAUAAUAUUUUUUUUAAUUUAAUAAUAAUUAUAAUAAUAAUAAUAAUAAUAAUAAUAUUUACAAUAUUAAUAAUAAUAUUAAACUUGUCUAACCCAAGUUCUUAUAGUUUUUAAUCUCUUCAAAUUGAAUUUAUGGUUUUUUUAUAGUAAUAAUAUUUUUUUUCAAAUUUAAUAAUAAUAAUAUUUUUAAUUUUACCCUUCAAAUCAAAUCUAUGUUUUUUUUAAUAGUAAUAAUAUUUUUUUAAAAAAAUAUUAAUAAUUAUAUUAAUAAUAAUGAAAAUAAUAAUAUAAAUAAUAAUAUUAAACAUAUCUAGCUCAAGUUCUUAAUUUUUUUAAUUUUACCAUUCAAAUUAAAUCUAUGGUUUUCUUCAAUAGUAAUAAUAUAUUUUUAAAAAAAUUUAAUAACAAUAAUAAUAAGAUUCAUAUUCAUUUAGUAUGACAUCCCCUACCAGACUCGAGUAGCUUGAGUUUAAUGCCUCUGCCAGAUCCAAGUUAUUUGGGUCUGUUGGUACUAUAUCCAAAUUCUUUAGUUAUGGCAUCCUCUGUCAGACCCAUGACGUCUAGAUCUAACAACCUUUCCAAAUCCAAGACAGUGUGGUCUCACAGUCAUGUCUAACCUGAGUGUCUAGAGUAUAGUUGCGUUGCCAGACUCGAGUGUCUGAGGUCUGGCAGACAUAUUUGACCCCAGUGCUAAGUAUUUGACAGCCGUAUCAUUCCCUAGCGCUUUAGAAAAACCCAAAAAAAAACCAUUUUGUCCCUAAUUAUUCUCUUAAUACCAAAUAUAUCUCAUAAAAAAGAGAAUCUCAUCCUCAACUACAUGCUUAUCAAGUUUCUUUGGUAAUAAUAAUUACAUCAUUAAACCAAUUCAAUUCAUAGUGAUCUGUCUUGAUGAAUAGUUAAACACUAAUUUCUUUUAAUAUAUUAUAUAAUAUUUACAAUAUAAAAAAGAACUAAAUACAAGGGGAAUAGUAAAAUACGAGAAAUAAUUAAAAAAACAUGAAAGUAUUUUUGUCAUUAUUUCGCGGAUCCUAGUGUUAUACUCUCUCUUUUCACUACUUCUAUCUCUUUUGUAGUUAUUACAGUUAUAAAUUUUUCCAUGUUUCCAUGGCCUGACGACGUUUACUACGAGGUGAAAAUAGCGAGGCUGAAACUUCAUGGGAGCAGGUGUUAAGUGGUAUGCUUUAAAGGUUGAAAAUUAUUUACAACUGUAAUCUCGCAAAUCAUGUUUGGCUGCAUUUAUGCACAAAAGAGCAAAAACACGAAAAUACUUGAAUUUAUCAAUCAUUAUUAAUAGAAAUUAAGCCUUUUGUUAUUUUCACUAUAGCUGAAAUUAUUGUUUAUUCUCUUAUAAAUAAUUGUAGAUUGAAAUUCUAAUUUUUUAAAAAUUUUCAAUUUGAUUCUCGAACAUUUUCUUUACACAAUUGAGCUCUUUUGAACUUGAAUUAGCAUCCAAUUACAUGUUUUUUUUAAUAGGAUACUAGAUUGAAAGAUAAAGGACCAAAAUAAAAAGGACACGAAAAAUAGAUAGCGACUUUGAAUUUGAUACAAAAAAAUUUAUUUUGGUCCCUUAUAUUUUUCAUUUUACAAGUGGUAGAUCCCUUUAGUUUUUAGGAAUUUAAUUUUGAUACCAAAAUUAAUUUCUCUAAUUUUUUUGUUCUUUUUUACAAGAGGAGAAAGAGAUCGCCACUUGAUUCCUACAAAGAGAGAAAAAGUGAUUGUUGACAACAAUAUAACCACCAAAAUGAUUGAAAUUGGUGCUACUGAGUUCCAUUUUCAUUUCAUUUGAGAAUUUUUAUUCAAAUAUUUUUUUUUCUUCUCCUUACUUGAUGAGAUAGAUCUGAUCGUGAGAAUGUUUUUGGAUUCAGGUUGAUUUUGGUUAUUUGAGUUGUUUUUUGGGUUUUAAAAGGAUAUGGAUAGGAUUAUCAAGGUGUUUAUUAUGUUUUUUUUUUAUCAAAAAUAUGUUGAAAAUGAGUUUUCAAAUAAAAAAAACCAACACUCGGUUUUUUCAGCCUUUUCUGGUUUCCAGAUUCUGCACAAAUCAGACGACAAUCUUAUUUAAAAAAAAAAAAAAAACAAAGCUAGGUCCAAGAGCCCGAGUUAGAAGGCUCAUAUGCUUGGGCUAAUGUUUUUUUACCAAUGUGUCGUGGCUUCCUUUUUUUAAAAAAAUAUUGUUAUUUUCUAUCUGAUUUAAAAAAUAAUAAUACAAGAAAUUAUUGAACUUAAUUGAGAUCAUGAACUGGGUUGUAGGUUACAUGGUUCAUCUACAACAUUCUAUCUUCUUUUUUGUACCAUAAUUUAAAAAAAAAAAUCCACCCUUUAUUAUUGAUGAUCCAUUUUUUUAUUUAGCUAAAAACUAAAAAAAUAUAAUUUCAUUAUUUAUUAUCAAUGAUCUACUCUUUUUUUUUUAUGACCCUGGGUGUCCGGGCCAGCUUACGCGCACUACAACUAAUCCCAGGGCCUACUGAACAUCCUGCAAGCCUAGUAGGCAGGUAAGGCACCGCGGGGGUGACAGGCUGGUACUCUUGAGGAUCGAACCCAGAACAUUCACAAAGACAAGCCUUGCAGUUGACCAAUGAACUAGACUCUCAAGUGUAUCAAUGAUCUACUUUUGCUAUAUCAGCAACAUGCGUCUAGCAUGAUUCUUUUCCUAUUAAAAAAAUAUUUUAUAUGAAAAAAUUCUCAUGCGCUUUAUUAUCGUACAAUUAAAUAAAAAUAAUAUUUGGUGUAAAAAAUUUAUUGAAUCUAAUGACAUACAUGACUUGCAUCACGAAUUUAAUUGAUUGACUGGAGUUUACUUGGUAUUUUUUUAAUUAAGUGAUAUUUUUUACCAUUUUCAUCUUUCAACAUUAAGUUAAUUAGAGGUUGAGCUUUUUAUUUUGGUUUUUUCAAGAUUAUUCAUGCAACUCUUGUAUGUCAAUUGAUGUUAAUGCAAUGCAUUUUUAUUUUAAUAUUAAAUAAAAAUAUAGUUCAAUAUAUGAUUAUAAUCUAUUUCUUUACAAAAUACAUUACCAAUAUCCUUCUACAAAAACUUUAGCUUGCAGCUUCUUUUCUUAUCUCAUUCGUUUAUUUUUAUGAGAAAGACUUGUAGAAAAUGAAAUUUGGAAAUUAGUGGAAGUUUAUCAGUACUAUCAAAUGAGAUUAAAACAUGCCACAUGUGGAGAAGAUGAAGCGAUAAUUAAUUAAUUACCCAAGAACUAUACAAGUUUGAUUGUCCAGUACAUUUCAAGAAACAUGAAAACAACCGUGUGCUGAGAGUUCCAUUGGUCAUCACCAUGGCUAGAUAACUGAGCAAAAGGGAAGGGGACGAAUAGCUAACAGGGAGAGAAUGGGCUUUGGUCUCUAACUCUCUACAAAGUCACAAGAUUCGACUCAUCGUGUUACUGAUUAUCAAAUUAAAAAAUAAAACAAAAUCAUUCGCAACACAACAUUCUUAAUCCACACCACGACAAUGAAUCAUAAGGAACUCUCGCUCUGCACUGCAUCACAAUAGCCCUUUUAAACUGCAAAAUGAAAUCCUGAAGUGUCUAUUAGCAUUUUAGAGACAAGUAAUGCCCCACCUCCACUAUAUGCUUAGUGGAAUACCUAAUCUCCACUAACCACAAAGUGGAGGCAACGAUGGGUAUAAAUCAUGACAUGAUUUAUGCCCUUCACUCUUUUUUGUAUGUUAAUAUAUAUGCUCAGUAAAGAACUGGCGUGUGUGUGUUAAUACUGAGAGAAAAAACACAGAGAACAGAGAAGAGAAAGAGAGCUUGAGUGAUUAGAGUUAAGUUGAGAAGAGUUUCUCCUCCUCCUUAGUUUGUAUUGUGUAUUUGAGUGAUUAAUACAAACCAGUAGCUCCGUGGAGUAGGCAAAUUGCCGAACCACGUAAACUUGUGUGUGUUUGAUCACUAGAAUCGCCCAACAACUGGUAUCAAAGCUUGUUCUUGAAAAAGAGGGUGUUUGAUCCAAACUCAAAAAUCAAAGUUCUCCAAACGUGUUUUUGACAAUACCAUCGUGUAGAGGAAGACCAGACGAAUCCACUGGUGAAAACCCGGCAAAGAACAGACGUCCUGCAUGCCUGCACGCGCCAACACACACCGACGUAAGGACUGCCUAUGCGCACCCACGCUCCUUCUUCGCCCGACUGCUUGUAAUCGGGUCGAGUUGACCCGCCUCGUCAUCCGUCCAGUCAGCAAGUUAGCGUAGUCAACAUCCAUCCAGUCAGCAAACUGGGUCAGCACAUGCCACGUCAUCAAUAAAAAUCGGUAUUCUUCUGCCUUGUCAGCAAAAGAUGGGCCUAGCUUGCGUGUCUGACACGUCAUCAGUUCUGGGUUUUGAUCCAGUGCGAUGCAGGCACUACUCCAGCUGACACGCGGCUUCAUCUGCACCGUCCUUUGAUCUAAAACUUUAAUUGCUAAAAUCUAAGCCAUUUGAAGUUCGAUUUGGGUGAUCUCAGUGUCAUUUCCAACAUUUUUGGUCGAAUUUGGCAAAUUGAAAUUGGAAAAGUAUUAAAAAUGGUAGAUGAAAUAAAGGCUGUUGGAAUUGAAAACUUUGACGGAACAAAUUUUGGAUACUGGAAAAUGCAAAUCGAUGAUUAUUUAUAUGGGAAGAAACUUCAUCUUUCCUUGUUAGGGAGCAAACCAGAAAAUAUACAAGAAGAAAAUUGGUUACUUCUUGAUAGAGAAGUUCUAGACAUUAUCCAGUUAUCCUUAUUAAGAAGAGUUGCUCACAAUGUUACAAAAGAAAGAUCCACUGCAAGAUUAAUGGAAGCCUUGUCCGGGAUGUAUGAGAACCAUCGACAAAUAAUAAAGUGCACCUGAUGAAAAAGUUGUUCAACCUGAAGAUGAUCGAAAACACAUCUGUUACAUAACACCUCAUCAACUUUAAUACCAUCACAAAUCAAUUAUCAUCUGUUGAGAUUGAGUUUGAUGAUGACAUUCGUGCACUCAUCUUGCUAGCUUCACUUCCAAGCAGUUGGGAAGGCAUGAGGACAGCCGUGAGCAAUUCAGCUGGAAAAUCCAAACUGAAAUAUGAUGACAUUCGAGACUUGAUUUUGGCUGAAGAAGUGCGAAGGAAUCGGGUGAAAGUUCAAGCUCAGGAUCAGCUCUCAACAUCAACACUCGAGGGAGGAGACAAGAUAGAGGCUCAUCCAGAGGCAGAUCAAAAUCAAGAUACAGAAGUAAAAGCAAGUUUGGAUCCAGAAAGCAGGUUGAAUGUUGGAAUUGUGGCAAACCUGGUCAUUUCAGUAGGAAUUGCACAAAACCGAAGAAACCUGAAGCUGACUCUGCAAACGCUACCACAGAUGAGGUACAAGAUGCUUUAAUUCUUGCUGUAAAGUCAAAUUGAUGAGUGGAUUCUUGAUUCUGGUGCUUCAUUCCACUGUACGCCACACAAUGAAAUGCUGCAAAAUUAUGUUGGAGGAGAUCAUGGUGUAGUCUAUCUGGCCGAUGGAACACCACUGAAUAUUGUGGGUAUAGGAGAUGUGCAAAUCAAGACAAUGAAUGGAUCUAUAUGGACCUUGCAGAAUGUAAGGCAUGUUCCUGAAUUAAAGAAGAAGUUGAUCUCUGUCGGACAACUUGAUGAUAGUGGUCAUUCAAUACUUUUUGCUGGAGGAAUGUGGAAAGUAUCAAAGGGAGCAAUGGUUUUAGCUCGUGGAAAGAAAACCGGCACCCUGUAUAUGACCACAAGAUUUGCAGACAUCAUUGCCUCAACUGAAGCAGAAAAUCAAGCACAGCUAUGGCAUUGUAGACUUGGCCAUAUGAGUCAAAAGGGGAUGAAGAUACUUCAGUCGAAGGGAAAGCUGCCAGAGUUAAAAAAUGUCGAUCUAGACAUUUGUGAAAGCUGUGUUCUUGGAAAACAGAAGAAGGUCAGUUUCUUGAAGGUUGGCAGGACCUUACGACCAAGAAAGCUAGAACUGGUACACACAGAUUUAUGGGGACCGUCUCCAGUAGCAUCUCUUGGAGGUUCUCGGUAUUAUGUGACUUUCAUUGAUGACUUCAGCAGGAAGGUAUGGGUUACUUUCUGAAAAAUAAAUCUGAUGUGUUUGAAACAUUCAAGAAAUGGAAGGCUAUGGUUGAGACUGAAUCAGGUCUAAAGUUGAAAUGCUUGAGAUCUGAUAAUGGAGGAGAAUACAUUGAUGGAGGUUUCAAGGAGUAUUGUGCUGUCAAUGGUAUCAGAAUGGAAAAGACCGUUCCAGGCACACCGCAACAGAAUGGCGUUGCUGAACGGAUGAACAGGACCAUCAAUGAACGAGCUAGAAGCAUGAGGUUGCAUUCAGGGUUACCUCAAACAUUCUGGGCUGACGCAGUUCAUACCGCAGUUUACUUGAUCAACCGUGGACCAUCAGUUCCUUUGGAAUUCAGACUGCCCGAGGAAGUAUGGAGAGGAAAAGAGGUACAACUCUCUCAUUUGAAGGUCUUUGGGUGUGUUUCCUAUGUUCACAUAGAUUCUGAUGCUCGCAACAAGUUAGAUGCCAAAUCCAAGAAAUGUUUCUUCAUUGGCUAUGGAGAUGAAGAAUUUGGAUUUCGGUUCUGGGAUGAUCAGAAUAGAAAGAUUAUCAGAAGCAGGAACGUGAUCUUCAAUGAGAAAGUUAUGUACAAAGACAGAUCAAGUGAGAAACAGAGAUGGCUGAUUCAGAUACAAGUCCACAAAGAUCUGAAUUCAUAAGAUUAGAAGGGCUUCCCGAUGUUACUAAGCAGAACAACAAUCAAGAGUCUUUACAAGAAGAUUCAAGCACAUCUGUGCCCACUACACACAAGAAGAUGCGGAGCAAUUGAACCAGCUGUUCGCAGGUCUUCGAGGACGAUAAAGCCCCCGCAACGGUUCACACUUUUACUGAAUUAUAUUUUGCUGACAGAUGGUGGUGAACCGCUACUUAUGAAGAAUCCUUACAAGAUGGAAACUCAAGCAAGUGGGAGUUAGCCAUGAAGGAUGAGAUGAGUUCGUUGCUGAAGAACAAGACUUGGGAGCUAACACAUUACCUGAAGGAAAGAAGGCCUUGCAAAAUAAGUGGGUUUACAGAGUGAAGACUGAGCAUGACGGAAGCAAACGGUUCAAGGCAAGACUUGUUGUCAAAGGGUUUCAAAAAAGAAAGGCAUUGACUACUCUGAGAUUUUUUCUCCAGUUGUGAAGCUCACAACAAUCAGAGUUGUUCUGGGGAUAGUAGCUGCAGAAAAUUUACAUCUUGAACAGUUAGAUGUAAAAACAGCAUUCCUUCAUGGUGACUUGGAGGAAGAUAUUUACAUGCAACAGCCAGAGGGGUUUGCAAUGCAAGGAAAGGAGAAUCAAGUCUGCAAGCUACAGAAAAGCCUAUACGGUUUGAAGCAAGCUCCAAGACAGUGGUACAAGAAGUUUGACAACUUCAUGUGCAGUUCCGGGUAUACAAGAUGCCAAGCUGAUCAUUGUUGCUAUGUCAAACAUUUUGACAACUCCUACAUCAUUCUACUAUUAUAUGUAGAUGAUAUGUUGAUUGCAGGAUCCAGCAUUGAGGAGAUUGAUAAGCUGAAACAGCAGUUGUCGAAACAGUUUGAAAUGAAGGAUCUGGGAGCUGCUAAACAAAUACUUGGCAUGAGAAUCAUCAGAGAUAAAGACAAAGGCAUACUAAAGCUCUCACAAACAGAGUAUGUCAAGAAGGUUCUCAGCAGGUUUAGUAUGGAUAAUGCUAAACCAGUAAGUACACCACUGGGGAAUCAUUUCAAGCUCAGCAAAGAUCAGUCACCAAAAACUGAGCUAGAAAGUGGAUACAUGGAUAAGAUUCCAUACGCCUCAGCUAUCGGCUCUUUGAUGUAUGCUAUGGUCUGUACCAGACCAGACAUUGCCCAUGCAGUGGGAGUUGUAAGCCGAUAUAUGAGCAAUCCUGGAAAGCAGCAUUGGGAGGCGGUGAAAUGGAUCAUGAGGUACUUAAAAGGUUCAUCGGAAACUUGUCUUAGUUUCACAGCUGGUGGUUUGAAACUUAAAGGUUUUGUAGAUGUUAAUCUAGCAGGAGAUGUUGAUAGCAGAAAGAGUACUACAUGAUAUGUAUAUAUUCUAGGAGGUACUGCUGUUUCCUGGAGUUUUACCUUUCAAAAGAUCGUCGCUCUUUCAACAACAAAAGUUGAAUAUGUUGCAGUCUCAGAAUCUGCAAAAGAGAUCGUAUGGUUGCAGAGUUUCCUGAAAGAAUUGGGCAAGAUGAAUGGAAAAGGUAUUUUGUAUAGCGACAGUCAAAGUGCAAUCUUCCUUGCCAAGAAUCCAGCAUUUCACUCCAGGACUAAGCAUAUUCAAAUCAAAUAUCACUUUAUCCGACAACUGCUAGACGACGAGCAACUAAUGCUAGGAAAGGUCUGUGGAAGCAAGAAUCCAGCUGACAUGUUAACCAAAAGAGUUACACUUGAUAAAUUGAAGUUGUGUAAAACUUCAGUUGGUUUUCAAGGAUAAAAGAUAAUUUCAUUGUUUGUCUCCAAGUGGGAGAUUGUUAGCAUUUUGGAGACAAGUAAUGCCCCACCUCCACUAUAUGCUUAGUGGAAUACCUAAUCUCCACUAACCACAAAGUGGAGGCAACAGUGGGCAUAAAUCAUGGCAUGAUUUAUGCCCUUCACUCUUCUUUGUAUGUUAAUAUAUAUGCUCAAUAAAGAGUUGGCGUGCGUGUGUUAAUACUGAGAGAAAAAACACAGAGAAUAAAGAAGAGAAAGAGAGCUUGAGUGAUUAGAGUUGAGUUGAGAAGAGUUUCUCCUCCUCCAUUGUUUGUAUUGUGUAUUUGAGUGAUUAAUACAAACCAGUAGCUCCAUGGAGUAGGCAAGUUGGCGAACCACUUAAACUUGUAUGUGUUUGAUCACUGGAAUCGCCCAACAGUGUCUGGUUUGAAUCACCAGGAUGUCAAACCCAACUGUAAAUCUAAAAAGGGGUUUUAGCUUUCUAUCACUUGUUAAUAUCCAGUGGAUUUGUGUUUUUGUUGCAGGCUUCACGUCUCUAGGCAGCUUCUUUGAUUUCUGAAUCAGCUUUAACCGACACCGUCAUCCGUAAAGAGCCAAAAGAUACCUUCAUUUGCAAAGUUACAAACCAAGAAUACUGAGAACAUCUUCGUUUGCGUAAUUGAACAUAAAUGAUGGUCCGGUCAUCUUCAACGUCUUCCAAUCAAUGUGAUAAUCCACCUUUCAUAGCUUUGUAUUGACCCAUGACAUGCCUUGUAUAGGUGGUUCCGUUAGUCUUAUUGACUAUCUAGUACAAGACAUUUGUUCGAUUAGGAACUAUAAUCGUGCAUUGCUUCAGAAUUCCUGGAUGAAUGCAGUUGAAGAAUGGCUCGCUGUUGUUUUCUCUAUUCGACUCAUUCUGGCGCCAGACAGGAAAAUGCAACUAAAAAGGGUCUCCCAUUUCAAACUGGGUCUGAAAUAUACACCAAUACAUUUUUCAGGAAAUGAUAUUUUCCAUAAUCAAAGUUUGCACAGAGUAUGAACUAGGCAUCUUCAAGGCCCAAAUCAAGGUAUCUAUUCUGAAUCUCAAGCCAAAACAAAAGAAUAUUUUGACUUCAUAUUGGAUGCUGGGGUGGGCGAACUCUCGUAGCUAUAAGUUAUACAAUCAAAUAGUUGCACACUUUGGAACACACAAGGACCAAACCAAUUUGAGAAAGGAUUGAAGCAGGUGCUAGAUUGAUACACAGUAGUAGUGUGUCAGCUUCUGGAAUUUGUCUAUUUUUGUACUUCUUGUAAUGAAAUUGAACUGCACGGUGAAAUGGUUUCUCUGCAGCACCACCUGUAAUCAUCAGGUUUAUCUGUAAUCAGCCAUGCCAAUCAAGCAACUACAGGGUGCAAAAUGGUCGCUCCACCUUUUGAUGUCCUGUAUAUUAAUUUCUUACGUUGCAGGCUUCCUAUCUCUGAAUUGGCAGUGAAUCACUAAGCAAUGCUUCACUCGUACAAACCUGAAACAAGAACUUUAGAUCUUAUAAGUUUAACUUCUUCUUUUUAACUAGAGUUUUUUUAUGUUUUUUUUUUAAUGAUUUAACUUUGGUUUUUUUUUCAGGUUUUUUUUAAAAAAAUAUUUUGCUAAUUCAAGCUUGUGUAUUUGAUUUUUUUAUUAUUUUUGAAGUUAGCAAGGUUGUCUUUCAAUUUAUUUUUUACAAACAUGUUGUCUAAAAGGUUAUAUUUGGUUAUGCAAGGUGAUUUAAAAAAACAUGGUUAAACUUUUUUUUUAAAAAAAAAAGCAUAAAAAAAUAAUUGAAAAAAUCAAACUGUGAAAAAAAAAAUCGAUUAUAAUUUUAAAAAAAUAGACCGGUUCGAUUCAGAUUCAAUUUUAUAAGCUUAAAAUAAAAAAAUAAAAAAACCGAACCGAACCCAAACCAAAAAUAACAAGAACAAAACAGAAAAAACCAAGUCAAAACAGUUUGAACCGUUUUUUGUUCUAAAAACCAUAACCGAAACCAAUUUUAAUUUAAAAAAAAAUAGUUUGGUUAUUUUUUUUAUAAAAACAAAACUGAACCGAAAAUACUUACCCCUAAAAGCUUGCUCGAAACACAUGAAUGAUCCCAGUAAGAACACUGUCCACCUAAUAAUUGGUUAAUAUCAUCUUAUUAUUGUAAGCAGCAACAUUGGCAAUCAUUUUCUAAAGCUAGCUUCCAGGAUUCAACUUCCUUGUGAAGUUUGGGGUAAUGAUCAAUAGCAUUAUCAACCGUAACUUUUUAUCCACCAAGUUUUGUCGUCCAUGAAUGUUUGUCUCCUUGCUUUCGGGAAAGAGAAGCUUUGUGUCACUUUUACUGUUCUGUUAUUUGAAAACAUUUGAAAAAAGAAAGAGGUUUGGAUUGUGUGAAUCCACAAACGCAAAUGUAUCUGAACGAACGAACAGUGACCUCAGCAAAUCUUUUAGUGUAUUGUUAGUUAAUAUAUAGCUAAUAUGAGACAGUAAUAAUUUCUCCUCUGUUCUUUUUUUAAUUAAAGCUUAAUUUCAAUGAAUCAAGACAAAACUCUAUCUGCAGAAAUCCUCAACGUUGACGCUUUCAGUAUUUUAGUUUAAGCAACUAAGCAAAAUCCAAUGAGUGGUAUAUUAAACAGAGUUCUCCAGAUUUCAUGAUCGGCCGAGUCUCUACCUCACUUUGACCCUUGCUCAGAGUUCCAAUUAAAUUAUUUUAGGAAACUAUGGUGAUUUGAUGAUGCUUACAUGCAGCUGAUAAAAUUGUUGAUGUAAAUUAUGAAAGCCAGAGUUGAUUCCAAAUGAACAAUAUCGAUCCCCUAAAUAUUAAAUUAAACUACAGCAGUUUCCAAUUCACUGCAAUAUCUACUCUGAGGCAAUCCAAUAGCCAAGAACUUACAAUAGUCGCGUAACCGGUUAGUUAAUUGCUUCGUUCUUGAAAGAAUCUUCCAUUAACUUUGAUUGUCUUUCCAUCUUCUCUUAGCUAGAUUGAAUUUCAUGGCCUUUGAUUCCUGUAUAAACUUGGCAAUCUGUUCCACGCCAGCCAUUGCAGGUGUGUUGAUAAGAUCUUUUGACCUUCGUUUUGCAGUACAAAAGACCGAAUUUUCUUGCUAACAGCUAUAGGGUGUCACUGUUGAAGAUCAAUCAAGAAUUUUCUAGAAUUCCUUAGCUGUUAAGGAAACAUUUGCUGGUGUGAACAAGCCACGAGUCAGUGCCGAUGUGGAAACAAAAGCAUGUCAAAAGUCAUUUAUCUGCAAUUUCAUGUAGAACGAAUAAUCUAUUUGUUUGUGAGUUUUUGCAACAUUGCUAAACAUUGCAGAACCCAAACAUUUUAGGAGUUUUUGCAUAGGUUGUUGAUUAUUGAAUAAUCUAUUUGUUUAUGAGUUUUUGCACCAAACAUCAUCGUCGGCUAAUUCAAUGGCUAGGGUUUUAUGGAUGGCAGUGGCUUGGGCUGGUGUGUUUGUGAUGGAAAAGGGUUUUCUGCCAUUUUUUUUUGUUUUUAAUUGCAUUACAAUUAAUUUUCAAGUUUAUUGAAUAUUUUAUAAGUCCAAUAAAUAUAUAAGAUAUCAUAGGAUCGUAUAUAAGUAAGAUUUAAAUCUUGAUGUGGAAGAAAGAAACAAGUUUCUUUAAUCACUGGCCAAUCUGAUGCGUGCCUUGUUUUUUUUUUCUGGAGUAGAAGAGGAGUGAGCUGUAACAGUUAUAGGGUGUACUGUUGAAGAUCAAUCAAGAAUUUUCUAGAAUUCCUUAGCUGUUAAGGAAUUAUUUGCUGGUGUGACCAAGUUACAAGUCAGUGCCAAUGUGGAAAGAACAGCAUGUCAAAAGUCAUUUAUCUUGAAUUUCGUGCUUGUUUCAGAUUUUUAUUUUUUAAAUUGUAUUUGUUUUAAAAAUAUAUUAAAUAUAUUUUUUAAUAUUUUAAAUAAUUCUCGUACGCUAGUAUAAAAAAUUUAAAAAUUAUUUUAAUAUAUUUUUAAAAAAACACUUUCGUAUAAAAAACAAAAUGUAUCAAAACACUCGUCACAAAAAGUAAAAAGAUUGUAUCUAGUUGUAAUUAUUAAAGCAAGAUACAUUAUUUAAUAACAAAGAACAUAAUUUAUAUUUUUAUUUCUAAAAAAUUUAUUUAUUUUUAUUUUAAAUUUAUUUUUUAAUAUUUUUAAAUAUACUUUUAAACCGACCACGCAACAUCUCUUUCUCUUGUGUAAUUUAUUGGGUGCUGUGUGUGGGUGAGAAAAAGAAAGAUAUCCAUGUUCAAACGAAUUGAACUAAGAACGAUUUUUUAUUACAAAAAAAAAAAAAACAAAACUGUAAGUAAAAAGAUUUUUUUUUUUACCCCACUACAUCUUGAAUAUCUCAUAUAUAAACUAUAUUAUAUAUAAAUAUAAUAAAUAAUAAUAUGAUAUUAAAGAGUAUCAUAUUAAUUUAUGAUUAGGUAUGAGUGGUGUGAGAAAUAAUACUAAAAUAAGAGUGUUUAUUGUGUGAGUGUGACAUACCAUUAACUAUGGUGUGAUUUUCAUGUUUCACCACUAAAUAAAAGACUACUGUGUUUUAUUUACUCACCAUUGUAUCCCAGAAUCCAUACCCAACAAUUGGUACCAGAGAUGUUGCCCAAAAUUUGUACCAACAGUCACCACCUCCUGACUCCAGAUUGAUGUUGCCCAAAAUUUGUACCAACAGUCACCACCUCCUGACUCCAGAUUGACGUGUCUGGUUGGCUUGCUUGAACACCAUUUCAUCUCGAUCGAUCCAUGGCAACCAUUAGCUUCAACACCAUUUCAUCUCAAUCCAUGGCAACCAUUAGCUUGAAGGCAUCUGUGGACAAGAAGAGCAACAGAGUUGUAUUUGUUGAAUCUGACGAGUUCUUUGUUGACAUCCUUUUCAGCUUUUUGACAAUGCCCAUGGGAACAAUCAUCCAUCUCAUCAGUAAUCUUUCACCGACAAAUAGGAUUGGUUGCAUGAAGAACUUAUAUAAAAGUGUUGAAAAUAUAGAUGUUAGGUAUUUCCGGACUGAAGCAUGCAAGGACAUGUUGCUGCAUCCUCAUAAUGCCGCUGCAGCUUAUUGUAAGAGCCUAAAACUGAAAAUUGAUAUCAUUGAUGCUUUAAGUUUCUUUUGUUGCGAGAGUUCCGAUUGUACUCGUACUGGCUACAAGUUGUGGAGUCAUUACAAAAAUGUUUAUUGUGGUUGUGGACGUCCCAUGAGCCGUAAUUUGAAUCUACCAUGCCCGGCUCCAUCAAAUAGUGGAUCUGACGAAAGAAAUCAAGGAGUGUUUGUCCAAGAACUGGCCCGAUUUGUUGUAAGUGACUAUUUUCAAGCGAUGCCAGCAUCAACUUCAGCAAGCAUUUCUCUUCUUACAAAGCUUGGAGUCAUGGAUACAAGUAACAUCGAGGAGAGGAUUUUUGACAUUGGAGUAACACAGGU